GAUGAACGCUAGCGGCAGGCUUAACACAUGCAAGUCGAGGGGCAGCGAGAGAGUAGCAAUACUUUUGUCGGCGACCGGCGCAAGGGUGCGUAACGCGUGAGCAACAUGCCCGUAACAGGCGGAUAGACCGUGGAAACGCGGCGUAAACCGCCAUAAGUUGGGAGUAGGCAUCUAUUUCAAAUGAAAUCUUCGGAGGUUACGGAUUGGCUCGCGAGACAUUAGCCAGUUGGCGGGGUAACGGCCCACCAAAGCUACGAUGUCUAGGGGUUCUGAGAGGAAGGUCCCCCACACUGGAACUGAGACACGGUCCAGACUCCUACGGGAGGCAGCAGUGAGGAAUAUUGGACAAUGGAUGGAAAUCUGAUCCAGCCAUGCCGCGUGCAGGAAGACGGUCCUAUGGAUUGUAAACUGCUUUAGCAUGGGAGCAAUAAGGUGUACGCGUACACCGAUGAGAGUACCAUGAGAAUAAGCACCGGCUAACUCCGUG
rnacentral:rRNA from 1 species